GUCCUCAUAGUUCAACGGAUAGAACACGGGAUUGCGGAUCCCGUAAUGGAGGUUCGAUUCCUCCUGGGGACA
rnacentral:tRNA from 1 species